UUUUUUUUUUUUUUUCAUCUUUUUGUCUUGGCAAAAACACAAGCAAGAUUCUUAUAUUUGUAUCGUUUUAGGUAAGAUCUCUGCUUGUCAUUCUUUCUUCAAUCUUUUCUUAGGAAUGAGUCCAUAACCCCCACAACAAUACCAAAAACAUGGUAAAGAAGAAAAAUGUCCUAUUUAUGGAAGGAUAUUUUUUUCUCAUUUAUGCUUUUUUCUACGUACAUUUAUAUUUUCAACAAGGUGCCUACUCAUUGAGCAUAGAAUACACCUUAACUAAAGAGAAUCCGUUUUUGUUUUUUUUUGUUUUUUAAAACACACAAUUGACAUGGUGUUAGUUUUAUAUAUAUAUAUUACCCGCAUCAUUUAAUAAAG